AUGUCUAGCAACACUAGGUUUAUUGGUUGUUGCCAACCCCUGUAUGUUUUGUAAACCGCUGUUUGUAGAUAAUUUAGUCAGCCUUUUGUUUUUUUGAUUUGUUGAUUUUGAUUCUUUGGCACAACCAUUUUGUCCCUACCUCCACCACAUUUGUUAACCUUUAGUUUUCCUUUAAUAAACCUUUAAUUUU